rnacentral:rRNA from 1 species
CCUACGGGUGGCAGCAGUGAGGAAUAUUGGUCAAUGGGCUUACGCCUGAACCAGCCAAGUCGCGUGAGGGAAGACUGCCCUAUGGGUUGUAAACCUCUUUUGUCAGGGAGCAACGCCGGCUACGUGUAGCCGGACUGAGAGUACCUGAAGAAAAAGCAUCGGCUAACUCCGUGCCAGCAGCCGCGGUAAUACGGAGGAUGCGAGCGUUAUCCGGCUUUAUUGGGUUUAAGGGGUGCGUAGGCGGAAUGCCAAGUGAGCGGUAAAAGCGCGGGGCUCAAUCUCGCUCCGCAGUUGAAACUGUCGUUCUAGAGUGGGCGAGAGGUAGGCGGAAUGCGUGGUGGAGCGGUGAAAUGCGUAGAUAUCACGCAGAA